rnacentral:tRNA from 1 species
AGGCACGUAGCUCAGGGGGAGAGCGCCACCCUGACACGGAGGAGGUCCCGGGUUCAAAUCCCGGCGUGCCUACCA